GAGAAAGGGGGAGAGCACGGGUGGAGACUGGAGCGGCGAGGGUUUUGGUGCCAGCGCCGCUGGGUGGAGAAACCCCAUCCCUCGCGCCCUCCGCCUGCCGCCGGGAAUCUGGCAGGGCUCCGGAUCUGCUCGGCCGCCGCCGGCAUCGGCCCCUUCGCUUCGGGUGAAAGGCCCAUAUGGGGAUGGAUAUGUAGAUAGAUGGAUCGGCUCAGGUUCGAGUUCGAAAUGUGAUCAGCUGUUGCAUUCACAAGGUUGAAGCCCCUGAGAUGGCUAAUAAAGCGCUAGUCUUCUCUGUUCUGGACGCUGAGACAUGUGGUGCUUGGGUUAGCUGUUGCUUUUGCUCAAGCUCCGCCGCUGACUAAUGGGCGGCCUUCCUUCUUCCUUCUCUUCAUCCCAGCGCACGUGUCACCGUGGUGAGACAGCUGCCGCUGACGUCAUCGUCGUCACCACUACCACCAUCGCCUGGUCUCUAUUGAUCCACCCAGACAUGCCCAAUGCCAGCUUUGAAGCCCACUGCAUUAGCCUAUGAUGAACCUGAAAUCUGAGGGCCAUGUUGUAAUACAAAUUCUCUGUAUUUUCAUCUGAAUCGAACUCUUUUGCGUGGACUCACUAUAAAACAGCCAUGCUUGCAUAUGGUGUUAUACUGUUGUGUAGUGCGUGAUGGUUGAACACCACCUCACAAUGUGUGGAGCAGUGCUUUGGGCCAUGCAUGUGCUCCUGCCUGUCUUUGCCAAGAUCUGGGCUAGUGUUUUGGUAAGGUAAUUAACUGAUCGCACUGAAUCAGCCACACCCAUCCCUCGUCGUUAGACAUGAUGGCAUAGGAUCACACUCUUAAGAGAUUUUACCAGUCCACUCUCAGGUUAAUUUUUUUGUACAUUUAUAUUCUUGUUUUCGUUUCUUUUACCUUAUUUUGUGUAAUUUAUCAUACCAAAAACUGUUCAUUUGCCAUUUUCGAAUGCAGGUUGGCUCUUUUGUAGGAAAUAUGGCAUGCUUUUGCUACAGAAAUAGUGAUUUAACAAACGUCUUUUAUUUCUUUGCUGUUUUUCUUUCUGUUACUUUUCUUACCAGUUUAACCUCAUAUAGCAUCUUACCCCAUUUAAUAAAAUCCUAAUUGUGAACUUGUGUCGCACUAGAAUUUCUGUUUGAGUUUUUUGGGAUGGUGGUUACUGGUUAGAAGCAUGUGUUGCCUAAUGAUGAAAACUAAUAUAUAGAGAUGGCACAUGACUCCUCUCUCUCUCUCUCUCUCUCUCUCUCUCUCUCUGAGUGUGUGUGUGUGUGCAUGCGUGCAUUGACAGUAAUUCUACCUUUGUUCAUGCCCUUAUGGGUGAAUUGAAGAUCAUCUCUUGUGCCAUCAAUGAAUGCUACAUAUAUGAACACCUGAAGGCACAAGCUUCAUUUUUGUAUCACAAAUUACUGAUGAACUUUUGCUUGAUAUAUUUAUUCAGUUUCAUCCUCCAGAACUGUCUAUAUUUUCUUGAUGCGAACCCUUUCAUUUGCAUUGCUGUCUCUUAUGUUUAGAUUUUGCAUUAUUGCCAUUUGGCUUCUUCAAUUUUUUGAAUUUGCUUGUUUCAUCGGAUCACGUUCAGAUUUGUCCUGUUAAUUUGUUUAUUGUGUUUCUACUAUCUUUUCGUUUUGCUUUGAUUUGCUUUAUUAGGCUAUUUGAUCUGAUCAAUCUCGGCAUAGAUUUGCUUUCUUAGUUUGUUCGGUGCAUUUCUACUGUACUAUAUUUUUGCUUGUUACUUGGGUUUGCUCUAGGACCAAUGAUGAUUACGAUGGAACCCCCAUGCAUGGAUGGAUGGAUCGACCGGCAUAGGUUUGGGCUCCAAACAGGGUCACAAUUGUUGAAACUCCUGAAAUGGCUAAUGCAGCGCUCUCUUCUCUGAUCUUGGCGCCGAGGUGUGUGUUUGGGGAUCGGAUGCAAGCUCCGCCACUGACAGAUGGGGCUGCCCAUAUGGCAGGUCUAUCUCUUCUUCUUCUUCUUUUCCUGCUGCUGCCGCUGCAGUUGUUGACAUCUCUGGCACCUCACGUACUACACCGGUGCACCAAGGCACGCCCCAGUGCCAGCUUUGAAGCCCGCUUCAUUAGCCUGUGAUGCUGAAAUCUGAGGGUCAUAUUGUAAUACAACCUCUUUGGUAUUUUCGUUGGAAUCGACCUCUUUUGCAUGUGCUCACUGCCAAACAGCCAGGGUGCACAUUGUGCUGUCAUGGUGUGACACUGUCAUGUGGAUGCCCAAUGGUGUAAUGGACCUCACAAUGUGUCAGACAUGGCGUGAGGGCGUGAGGUAUCCACUGGGGCAUGCAUGCUUAGCUUCUCUUGCUUCACUAUCUUGGUAUCUUGGCCAACGAUUAGGCUAUAGUGUUCUGAGUAAAGGUAUGUGCUUGAUGGAUCAUUGAUCCACAAUCAAUGACACAAAAUCACUCACAUCCCUGUGCCAUGUCUGAGUUUGUUGUUUUGCUUUUCACCUCAGCGGAGGAAAAUCUUUGCUGUUUCAUGAUUUAUCAUGACUGAUCACUGUAGUAAAUCAGCUUGCAUUUGAGUUCCGAUCUCGAAGCGGUAGCCCUUUACCAGCUUGCAUUUGGUUUCUGUCUGUAAUGUUUAUUAGUGGUUUUAAGCUAGUAUUUUGGUUAUGAUUUGUGCUUCAAAAUUGUCCAUGAAGUCCUGAUACUGUUUGUAUACACCAAUUAGUAAUGCCUUCUAUAGAGAUGGCACAUUACAUGGUCCCUCCUCCCCCUGCCUCUCUCUCUCUAUCUCUCUGAGCAUGGUGUGUGUGCACACGCGCGCAUCCGUGCACUGACAGCAAUUCUACCUGUAUUCAUGCCCUUAUUGUGUUUGCUUGCCUUUGCUUUGGCUAUUUGAUCUGAUCGAUCUUGAUAUAAUUUUGUUUUCUUGGUUUAUUUGGUGGUACAUUUUUACUGCUAUAUAUUUUGCGUGUUACUUGGAUUUGCCCUUGGCCCAAUGAUGAUUACGAUGGAGCCCUCAUGCAUGCAUGGAUGGAUCGCCUUAGAUUUGAGCUCUAAACAGGGCCAGCUGUUGCACUCGCAAAGUUGAAGCCCCUGAAAAUAGUUAAUGCAGCACUGUCUUCUCUGUUCUGGGCGCUGAGGCAUGUAUGUGUCUUGGGUCAACCGUUGACACUGACUCUGGGCCAUGGCAAAAGGUCUUCUUCAUCAUCAUCAUCAUCAUCUUCUUCUUCUUACUGUUGAACCAAGGCAUGCCCCAGUGCCAGCUUUGAAGCCCACUGCAUUAGCCUGUGAUGAAACUGAACUCUGAGGGUCAUAU